AAAACACUGUCCUCUGAGGUAUAAAGUAAGAAAAAAGUAUUGUUGGUAAGGUAAAAUAUUGUUCAACUGUGUUUAUGCUUAGAUUAGAUGCUUGUGCUUGCGCGGAACUAACGUUGUAUUGAGGAAAAAUUGUGAUUUAUGUGUAGGUGCAACUAUAAAGGAAAAUAAGUAAAGAAACGUGAAGUGUGUAGAAAGUAUAAAAAAGGGGAAAAUAAAGGUUAAAUAUAUAAUAAAAUCUUCAAAUAGGGAAAUAGGAUAAAAGUAUAAAGUAAACAUAAAAUAAUGGAAAAAGGAGAGAGAACGCCGGUUGAAAUAAUCACAGGAAAAUAUCCUAAUUGUAAAAAGGAGAUAGAACAUAUAUCAGGAAAAUGGAAAAAAAGAACUAAAAGAAUGGCGACAAAAUGGCCUAAAGAGGGCACGUUUGAUGUAGAAAUAUGCGAUCAGAUGGGAGGGGUAAUAGCAAAUUAUAGAACAGGAGACAAGUCAGAAAAAAGAAAGCGAAAAAGAGAACAGGAAAAAAGAAUUUUAGGAUGGUUUAGGUCCGCUUCCCUAGAAAAAUAUGUAGGAAUGAGUGGGGGUCGCAGUAAAGAAAUGACCCCCCCUCCGUAUACCCCGCAGUCAUCAGGACAUGCGGAAAUAAAAGAGAAGGGCGUGUACCCAAUAGGCCCGGUAACAUCUGCAGUAACAGUGUGUCCAGUAGUAAAAGGACAGGUUCAGAUACAAGGGUGGGUAGAACAUGAGGAAAGUGAGGAACAGCUCGAGAUAGAGAGAGCGCGGCUCGAGGAAGAAAAGGGAAAAAUAGAAAAAAGGGUAACAGAGCUAAGGAGAGAAUACAAGGAGGUAGAGGAGUUAGAAGAGCUGUUAAAAGAAAAAUAUAACCAGUAUGAUGAAUACCAUAGCCGGUUAAUAAAAAAGGCAAAAGAGAUAAGAGACACUGAGAAAAAACAGCAAGCGUCUAAAAAAUGCCAAAAGCCUGAACAGGUGGGGUCAAAAAGGGACGAGGAAACACCUAAAAAAUGCGAAACUGCGGGGUGGGGAAAUUUUAGAUGGGAAAAGCUCCCGUAUAACACAUGGGAAGAGCUGAAGCCAAAAAUUACCAAGAGAACAGAGUCCCGAGAAAAACAUAAGCCAUAUUUGACGAAAGACAUUAUAAAUAGAAAGCAAAUCGCCCAAGCAGAAUAUAAAUACAAUAAAGGGGAGGAGGAAUUCUCCCCAGCAGAAAAAAGUGAGGCGAGCGACAAUGAGGCAUGCCAGACAAACAAUAGUGAGGCAGAAGAGUCAGACGGGGGAGAGGGGCCUGCACAGGUGGGAGGAGAUUUAGCUGGGCGAUAUCAAAACACAAGAGAAAGGCCGCCAACCCGGCGUAACCCUGCAGCAGAAGGAUAUAGCCAUAAUGCUAGUAAACCCAAUACUAUAGCACCAUUGUUGAUUAAGGAAGGGGGUGUACCCCGAUACAUUCCCUGGUCCACCCAAGAUAUGCAGAAUGUAAUAACCAAUCUCCCUGAUUUGCAGAAUGGAGCAAGCCACUGGAUCAGGGUGCUGGAGGAGGAGACGACAGGCCGGAUCCUGGCUGUGGGGGACCUGAAGGCUCUCCUGGGAAAGGCUGUGGGGAUGGAAACAAUGCUGGACAUAUUUGAGCAGGCUGGCUUUGACAGAAACCAUGCGCAGUCUCCAGCAGUGGACGGUGGGCCGUUUGAUAACGUGCGUGGGGUUGUUUGGACUGCUCUGCGAACCCUGUAUCCCGCACGACCGGACAUAACGACCUUAACGGGACCGCCGUUAAAAGACAAUGAACCACCGGCAACAUACAUCCACACGCAGUUGCGCAGGUGGAGAUUGUUAACUGAAAAGGACGUACAGGCAGAUCCCAUAAUGACCACCCUCUUCCGCAAAGCCAUCCGGGAGGGGAUGUCACCGGAAGUGGGGCGCCGCCUCGAUGAGGUGGUGGGACUGAACACCAUGACACACAGAGAGUUUGUGGAUCACGUGGUGCACGCUGUGGACAGGCAGCGGAAAGAGGGGAAAAAGCUGGAAGAUCAAACAAAAGACAUUCAAAGGAAGCUACUGCAGUUGCAGCUGGAGGAGCUGAGAGCCAAAGAAAAAGAGGCGAGAGAAAUAAAGGAGCUGAGAGCCAAAGAAAAAGAGGCGGAAAAAGUGGCAUCGGUGAAAAUACAGAAUAUGGACAAUGAAUUCUUUGACUUUGAAGCCACUCCCCCCGCCUGAACCACGGAGCAGCCGGAUGGUGCCCCAGCCGACGGUGGUCUACGACUUCUCCGGCAUCCCUCACCCAGUGGCCAUGCAAGAUACAAAAGAACAGUACAUAAGGGGGGCAAAAGGGGGGACACAAGGUGUCCAGGAAGAAGCUGCAGCUCUGCUCUCAGAAGACGGGGAGAGCGGAGGGACUGCGGGCGCUGACACCAGCCCAGGGAGCAACAGCACCCCUGCGGGUCCAGUACGAGAAUCGCAGGUCGGCUUUCCAGUGGAGUGACGCGCAGACCGCGUACUCUGGAUGGGAAGAUAUACCAGGAACCUACCACCUAUGAGGACUGCAGCAACACAUCGUGCUACGAAUCAACGUGUUAAGAAAUUGUGUAUAAUAACUUUGUUGGGUCACUUAGAAUAAUAUAUACAGCUUUGAUAUGUAUAAUCAAAUUUUGCGACUGGAGAGAGUGUUGGAGGAACCAUGGGAACAACGUUACAUUGAGGAAUCUGAUACAUUUGGAUGCUGCUAUGGCAGCAGGGGAUGUGCAGGCACCCAACAUAAUAUACAUGGGGUGGUGCACACCCGACACUGACUGAUGCUGAGAAUAAGAAUACAGCGAGGGGUGUUUUUCGGGGCCAUGAGGUUUGACCCCGAAAGGGGGGAAUGUAGGAGAAUUUUGAGACUCCCCAUGAGUGUGAUGACGUCACAUGUUAAAGUUUUUUUGUUAAAGGGUAUUCCUGUCAAUGUUGAUCAGACUGUUUCCUCCAAACUCUCAAUGCUUCAUGAUAAAAAUUAUAUACACUCAUAUAUCACAUGUAUAACUAUAUACUAAUAUAAUCAAUAUGUAAUCCAAUAACUCUAUAUCAGUAGUUGCAGCAAAGCUUAUGGAAACGCAAGAAACCACAGUAUCCACUGUAGAAAAAAGGCAAACGCAGAAGGCUUAAAAAAACCAUACUUACUCAGCAGAAAAUUAGUGCCAACUAGAUAUGCUAGAAAACUAAUACUUUACAGUGACCCAUGUGUAACCUGAAUAAAGUAAAAAAAGGUACAGGAGGCUAUAGCUCUAUGAACUUGUAUGUAUAAUGGAAAAAUACAGAAAGCAAUGACGUGUAUGCAUAGUGAAAAAGUACAGAGUAAGGGAAAAUUGGAAAAAUACAGACAGCAAUGACGUGGUGUAUGCGUAAGUGGGAAAGUACCACGUAAGGGAAAAUUGGGGUACCUGUCCACUGAUGAAGAUUAAUUAAAGACAUCAAUAGAACUAAAAAUCAGUUUUGGAGCACCUGACCACUAUGAUAAAAAUACUUACUAAUACAGUAAGAACAUCAUAAGGACCGAAAAUCAUCUUUAUGCCAAAAAGGUCAAGUUGACCCACGAACAGGAAAGUGAAACUCCUUGCUGUGCCAGAAAAGGCCAGAGGGCUGAUAUUUUUAGAAAUGUGUUAAAGGGGGGUUGUGGGCACAAAUUGUGUAUAAAAUGUAUGCAAAACUGACAAUCGAGGUUCAAUUCCCCUGAAUUGAUCCGGCUUUGUGCACCUGUGCAAUAAAGUCUAAACUUUCUGAAGAG